GACGAACGCUGGCGGCGUGCUUAACACAUGCAAGUCGAACGGAAAGGCCCUGCUUUUGUGGGGUGCCCGAGUGGCGAACGGGUGAGUAACACGUGAGUAACCUGCCCUUGACUUUGGGAUAACUUCAGGAAACUGGGGCUAAUACCGGAUCGGAGCUCCUGCUGCAUGGUGGGGGUUGGAAAGUUUCGGCGGUUGGGGAUGGACUCGCGGCUUAUCAGCUUGUUGGUGGGGUAGUGGCUUACCAAGGCUUUGACGGGUAGCCGGCCUGAGAGGGUGACCGGCCACAUUGGGACUGAGAUACGGCGCAGACUCCAACGGGAGGCAGCAGUGGGGAAUAUUGCACAAUGGGAGGAAGCCUGAUGCAGAAACGCCGCGUGCGGGAUGACGGCCUUCGGGUUGUAAACCGCUUUCGCCUGUGACGAAGCGUGAGUGACGGUAAUGGGUAAAGAAGCACCGGCUAACUACGUG
rnacentral:rRNA from 1 species